UACGUAGGCAGCGAGCGUUGUUCGGAGUUACUGGGCGUAAAGGGUGUGUAGGCGGUUGUUUAAGUUUGGUGUGAAAUCUCCCGGCUCAACUGGGAGGGUGCGCCGAAUACUGAAUGACUUGGAGUGCGGGAGAGGUGAGUGGAAUUCCUGGUGUAGCGGUGAAAUGCGUAGAUAUCAGGAGGAACACCGGUGGCGAAGGCGGGAUCCUGGGCCAGUACUGACGCUGAGGAGCGAAAGCGUGGGGAGCAAACAGG
rnacentral:rRNA from 1 species